AUCUUUUUGCAGCUCAUAAGCAUGAUGACUGGGGAGUUCACAUGUUUGUGUCAUAUUUGCUUCCAUUAAGUCCUGUUACACAGCACAUUACUUGCCUGAUG
rnacentral:snoRNA from 1 species